GCCCUGACAUAGAAAUUAUUAAUAUAAUUAAAUGAUCAUUCUGGAUUUUGGUUUUCUUCUUAAAAGUGAUGAAAUUAUUUUUAAGUUACGUAAAUAUGUGUUUUGCUAUCUCAACCACCAAAUCUUCCUAGUAACUAUAAUAGAUUUACUCCAUUGUAACUCUUAUAUUUCAUUUUGAAUAAAUUACAAUAAAAUAUAACAGUUGCAUAAAAAUAUUUUAAUAUACAGUCUACAAAAAUAUUCUUCAUACAAGUGUCAAGAACUAAGUUUUGUCUCUGAUAUGGGGGAAUGUUAACAAAGAUUUUAAAACAGCAUCAUAAAUUAUUGUUUAAUUAAACUUUCUAAUAGUUGUAAUUUUCCUUUUUUUCAUUUUUUUCUUACCAUGCUACAGUCUUUGAUAAAUAGGAUUAAAAUGAUUUCCUAGCAUAUCUUUUAUCUGAUGCACUAAUGCAGAUACUAUUCAAAGAAGUACUGUAUGAUGAAAUAAAUACAUAGAGGUUAUUUACAGGAAUUAUUCUGUCUUCUCUGUGAUGCAGAAUAGUGCCUAAAAUAUUGCCUCUAUCUAGCAAUAUUUACCAAGUUAAAUGGAUGACAUCAUUAUGAUAAUAGUGAUUAUUUACUGUUCAAUAUUACAAAUCCUGAUAUCUUGAAUUUAAAAUCGUAGUUGACAAUUUUUAUUGCUUUCUUUUAUAGCAGAAGAUGUUAUGAUAUUUAUAUCACAAUAGACAGUUUGAGAUAAUAUUCCUGGAUGUCAAUAGGUAAUUUGUAUAUAACAACCUCAGAAUGAAUCUCUCUUGAAUCAGAUGUAAUUAUAGUUCAAUCCUUUGCUUGUUUACAUAGAAAGUCCCACUGAGUUAAGUGGCCAUUACUCUUGGGUAAAUAUAUAUGUUUGCAGUCACAUUUCCUAUUUCUUAAGGAUAAAACAUUUCUAGUGAGUUCUCACUAUGCAGUAUUCCCUAUGCAUGUUCUUCUUAAAGUUAUCUACAAUUUUACAUUAUGUGGUUUAAUUAUUUUGUAGAUUGAAAAAGUCCUUCAUCUGGCAUAAGAUAUGUCAGCUAAAGCAGGGGUCCUCAACCCCUGGUCUGUGAACCAGUACCAGACCGCGGUAUGCCAGCAACCGUGCCGCAUAAACAAGCAAAGCCCUGUCUGCGAGAUGCAGGCAGCACACAAAACCAUGCACCCUCCAGGCCAUGGAAAAACCUCUCUCCACCGAACUGGUCCCUGGUGCCCAAAAGAUUGGGGACCUCUGACCUAAAGACCAUAUUUACGAGAAGAAUAAACAGAUCAAAAUAAGUUGUUUUAAUUUCCUACAACUGGGCUAAUCUGUUAGCAAUCCUCAUUUUCCAUAAACUGCCAUGAAUACAAGUUUUUUUAUAUCGAUCGAUCAAUAUAGAUAUAUAGAUAUAGAUAUAUAGAUACACACACACACACAAAUCUCAUCCUACAUCCUUUAUGCAUCUGUAUUAGGGUAUAAUCUGUGAACCUUUGUUUGCUUGUUGUUUUUCUUUUAAAGAACAUUCAGCAACUUCUGAUAUUAUUACAUAAUUAUUAUUACCAUGACAUGCAUAUACAGUAUAUUCAAAUAAUUGCUAUUAGAGUAGAAACUAUUAAAAUGUAGAAUGGAGCAAAAAAAUCAAUGGAAAUAUAAAUAAGCACUGCAUUGAAACUGUGCAAUGCAAUCACCAAUUUAUAUUCAUUUUCUUAACAAAUAGCCCAGUUCAAAAUUAUAUAUUUACAGUCAGCCAAAUAAUCAAGGUACUGUAUUAAACUUAAUGAAGUAUUACUUUCUGCAACAAGAUUUUCAUUAAUGGUGGAGAUCAUUAACUCCAGGUUGGCCACCCAUUUAGGGAAAAGUGAAUGCCAAGAAAGAACAACUUGUAGACCUACGUAUGCUAUGGUUAAGGAACAAGAAUCAGUUUCUUGAUCUAGACUAAUUUUAGUUGUCCAGUAUCCCACCAAAUUGUGGAAGCAAAACACAGCUUCCAAAUCAGUAUUUCUCUCUUGUUCUUAGAAAACCAAAUAUCUCCAGCUUGUGAAUGAAGAAGAUAUUGUCCUCCUGGUCUGCCCUCCAAGGAAGAUCAUUAUUAGAGUUUUCACAGAGGAAAAGGCCUUCAUGAUUUUCUAGGCUUGGACAUUAGGUACAAUACUGUAGGCCAAUGUUAAAUAUUUUCUGAAUUUUUUUCUUUUACAGCCUGACAAGAGUUGCAUUCAAUUUUUGAAAUAUGCCAGUGUAUCGGAACAGAUACAGGUGGGACAAGAGGGCUCAACAUAAAGCACAUUUUAACAGCAAAUAUGACAAAUUAUUGAAUAUGCAUACUUCAGAUCUUGGUGUUUUCUUAAUAACUGCUUAUCCUGAACCCCAUCACUUUCUCUUUUUCCUCAUGAGGCAGGCUGUAAUUUCUGGACAACUGGGAUAGGCUCCAAUAUCCAUCAACUAGAGUUGGAUAUGUAUGCUUGGAAUUUAAAGAACUCUAAGUGAAAGAAUACCAGAACUGAAAAAUGUCCACAAUAUUCCAUAGAAAAAAAAAGUACUCCUAUUAAUCACAAAUGUGUUGAAUAAUUUCAGCCUUACAGUAUAUUGGGGAGACAAUGGAUGCAUAGGUCUAUUGCAUAGUUAGAAAUCCAUGGCAAUUACUUGCAAAUUUCCAGAAUUAUGGCAAUAAAUCACUACCCUGAUCACUUUUGCUGUUUUGUUCUUCCUAUCCUCUCUGUCUAAAGAGAUGCUAAAAGCAUAACUUUGUCACAAACCAACAAAUUCUGUUGUUCCAAUGUCUUUAAACUGGCAUGGCCUGUUGGCAGAUAUGGCUCCCUAAGAAAAAACCAGCUUCAUAUAAGGAGCCUAAUUUUAUUUAAUCUAGACUAGGUUCCAUUAUAGACUAGAGUAGCUUCCAUUACAAGGAAGGAGAAAGGGAAUUGGUUUCCUGCAGUUAUUUUGAAGUCUCUCAUGUAUUUGUGUCUUCUGCUCAUUGUACUUUCCAAAUAAUGCUAUACAGGGAGCAAGGAUAGUUAAAAUAAGACUUGCCUUCUUUCUUGUUUGUGUGAAAUCUUCCUGCAAAUUGUAAAUGUAUACAUUUAGUUUUAUGAAACUCUAAAAUGUAACCAUUCAGUUUCUUAAAAUAUUUUCCAAAAAUAGGUAAAGCCUCCAAGUUCUCAUCCUGAUAUACUAAUGAAAUACAAACAAGAGCUGAGACUGCUAGGUUUUUGUUUCUGGUAUUUUUAGUUUAGUUUUGUUAUUUGAUUAAUCUCCCAGAACUUGGCUUUCAAUUGCCAGAUAUGUUUCAUCAGAACUGUAGCAGAACAGAGGCCUGUAUAGGGAAAAAAGAAAGAAAUAAGGGGAAGGAGAAAGCAUAGCAGCUAAGGAGAGGUUAAAUCACUGGAUGGGAGAUGAAUUCUCUAAGUGAUGCUAUUGUACUAUUGAUAGGUGAUGGGCAGGCCAUCUUGAUUUGGCUGCAGUGUGCCCUCCAUUCUUUCCUAUUGUCUGGCCAAACCAAUUCUAACCCAUUGGUGAGGCUAAACAAUGGAAAAGCAGAAAUCUCCCACCCCAUGAAUGUGUGACUCAAGCAGGGAACCCAAUCCCACCCCAAAGGAAUCUAGACUAGAGGAACAUCCAACAAACAUUGCAACAAGGCAUGGAUUAGAACAGAGAUCUUACUUUAUUCUGUGGGUGGACCAGAGUCCCAAAAGGAGAGAUUUUGAUGGGGGAGGUUUUGUAAGGUGUCAGGUUCAAUAAGAAGGGAUUUAGCCGAUUGGGGAGUUUCACAAGCCUGCAGAGAAUAAGAUACUUUUGACUUUAAGAAACUUUCCCAUCAGGAAUCUCUACUUCCAAGUAGGAUUUCAAAGAGACACAGCAACAGGAUCAAUUGAAAUAAGAGAGGAACAAGUAGCACCUUUUUCUCUUCUACCAUAUCUAGAUUCUAAAUCCUAGUCUGAUGAUUCUUUCAAUUUGCCAAGGCCACAGCUUUCAACUUCUAUCUACUGCCUGGGCUAGAAAAUACUUUCCUGAAGACAGAUCCAAGCCAACACUGCCCUUGAUCUUUCAACUGUUCAGUGCUAUUUCAUUUGCUAAUAAGAGGGAAAGACUCAGCUUUGGGGAAAACCCAACUUCUUUAUCCAGUAAUUGCAAAGCCAACGAAUCUCAUCCUGGCCAAUUCAUUUCCAAGCUCAACAAAUCAACUAAGAUUUCUUUUUUUCCUAACAUGACCAUACGUUUUUGUAAGCUUUCUCCCAUGGCAACUGGUGGCCUUUACUCCCAGGUAAAUAUACCCAGAGUCUAGUCUUCACGUCCACUAAAGGCUCACUGAAAUUAAGGGCCCCUGUGCUGGAGCUGACCAGCAAUGGAAGAGGAGGAAUGCUUCUCUGAAGCUCUCCUUUUUAAUAAGACCCAGAAUUCUGGGGCUACGAGGAAGCAGCUUGGAAGAACUAGACCUCCGCAGCCCAGGCGGAGCGGGGUUCCUCUCACCCUCAAAACGAAAAAACCCGGAUGUUGAGUCAGCCACUGUCAGCAGCCGGGGGCCCCCCCAACGCUUUCAGAGCCCCCGGGAAAGCAUUUAGCGCAGACCAUCUACCGUAACAGGCGAGAGAGGCACUGCUCGGGAGCCGCCUCAGCCUGACUCCCAGCCCCCUUUCGCUCGCCCAAGUUCAGAAAGAGCAGCGCUACCGCCCGCUCCUGGUUCUGCCUGGCAGGGCGGCGGGAAAGAGGCCGCUCGCUCGCCGCCCGCCGCCUCUCCAGAGAUCCAGGGGAGUCCUGGGCGGAGGAGGGAGCGGUUGCGAAGCCCACCAGGGAAAGGGACCCAGCCGGACUUCUCGAAGCCAGCCGACCCGCGCAGUUCUGUACUAUAAAAUCUGCUGAUGUUUUCUGCCUUUAUUAUAAUAUAAAACAAUGUACGGUAGACUGGUGGAUAAAUAGAUAGAAGUUAUGUACCGGCUGUACUCAAAACACAAGAUUAGUUAUGGGCCCUUGAUAUUUAGGGGCGAAGUUCCCGACGCAGAAUAUUUCUUCAGCCGCACCCCCGCCCCAAGUAAGUCAGACUCCUGUGUCAGGAAGGCAUUUGCAUAAACUCUGCUCACACUUUAACUAGGUCAGUUAAAGUCCUAGUAGAUCUAUUCUGACGAUAUGCCAAAACAUAAUAGAUGGUUAUCUUUUAGAUGGGUAAGAGGUUAGAAUGUUGUUUUUAACUACUUGGGUACUUUAUUAUUCAGUUUAUUGUGGGGAUCCAGAAAAUGCUUUAAUCCAGAAAGCUGCUUAAUCCUCCCGCCUGGCUAGUACGCUUCAGAGAAAGCCUCUAGAUCUUAACACCUUUCAAGCUCAGAUAAUUCAGACUUCAGCCGAACAACUUCUUUCCUGUUCAAAGAAUGUCUUCAAAAGAGGGAAUGUGGGUAAAUGCUGUUACGUUUGAAUACUAGAAAUUGGUUAUAGAUGUAACUAAUCAGUAGUACUUCCCAGUGAACGUUUUGUCUUGUAUUACUCCAAACCACCCGGUGUAUGUACAAAAUAUGCCUGCGACGUAUUAAUCUUUACCCUUAUUGUUCUAAAAUUAAAUUCUAGCCGUUUUCCCCUUCUGUUUAAUUUAUCCCUGAACGGAGAAAUUUGGAAAGCUAAAGAUCCAUGAUUCUGGAGUGGUGGUGGUGGGGAAUAUCUUGCUGAUUUUUACGGUAUUCACCACAGUAAAAUGCCGAAUUCCAUCUUAAUUUUUUCACUGGUGCUACUUCAGUCAAUAAAUUCAUUCCCUGCGAACC